rnacentral:RNase_P_RNA from 2 species
AGAGCAAAUCAAGCGAUCGCUGUUCUCUUUAAGUCUAAAUUAGUUACUAAUUUGGAUUUAAGGGAAGAGAGGAAAGUCCGAACACUACAGGGCAAUGGACUGGUUAACUGCCAGGCGGGAUAACCCGACGACAAGUGCAACAGAGAAUAGACCAGCCGAUGGCUAGCUUGCUAGUACAGGUGAUGGGUGAAACGGUGGGGAAGCAAUUCUUAAUGUAAUAGCCCACCAGCGGUUGUGGUGACACAGCCGGCUAGGUAAACUCUCCGUGGUGCAAGACCAAAUAGGGAGGCGUAUGUAGAGUGGCCCGCUUGAGUUUAUUACUGCUUUGGCGGUAAUAAUACGCUCUCCGGGUAGGUUGCUUGAGCUAGUUGGUGACAGCUAGCCUAGAUGAAUGAUCGCUAUCUUAGCGUAAGUUAAGAAACAGAAUUCGGCUUAUAGAUUUGCUUUAACA